UACGUAGGGUGCAAGCGUUGUCCGGAUUUAUUGGGCGUAAAGAGCGUGUAGGCGGCCAGGUAGGUCUGCUGUGAAAACUCGAGGCUCAACCUCGAGACGUCGGCGGAAACCAUCUGGCUAGAGUCCGGAAGAGGAGAGUGGAAUUCCUGGUGUAGCGGUGAAAUGCGCAGAUAUCAGGAAGAACACCCAUGGCUAAGGCGGCUCUCUAGUACGGUACUGACGCUGAGACGCGAAAGCGUGGGGAGCGAACAGG
rnacentral:rRNA from 1 species